rnacentral:sRNA from 1 species
CUGAAAAGCAUCAGAUACAAAAUUGUCAAUUUUGACCCUAAACUUUUGGAAGGAAAAGUAAAGGAGGAUCCUGACCAGGGGGAAUCCAUGAAACCUGUGAUAUUCUUGCCCUUUACAAUACAGCACUGAAGCCAGGACAUGCAGCUGCAUUUUCAGAAGAUUGUGAUUCAGCCUCUACUAAAGUUGUCAUCCGUGGAGCAGGAAACCAGGUAAAUUGCUUACCAAACACCCCUCUUCCUACAAUAUUGUUUAAUGGGAAGAGGUUGCAAAUUCAGGGAACUCUUUUGCUGCAAUUUACACUCCCCAAUAAUUUCAUCCCAAAACUCAAGCCUGCUUUUCUGUAGACUUCUUCAUGGACUUGACAGCCUAAUUGUUCUUGAACAUCUGGUUUAUUAUGUCAACAUCUAGGUUCCUAUUCUAACUUGGAAUUUCAAAUAUCUAUUUUCUAAUCUGAAGAAGUCAUAGUUUAACAGCUCUUCUCUCUACUGGCUAUAAAAUUGUAUCUAUUCUGUUUGAAGCAGUAAGUACAUACAUCCUAUUUGUGUUUUUAGUACAAUUACAUUGGCUAUCUUGACUAUAAAAAGGAAAGAAUUCGUAAGCUUUCCAUGAAAGCCAGCACUUGCUCAUUUAAUCCUGGAGUUUUUGUUGCAAACCUGACGGAAUGGAAACGACAGAAUAUAACUAACCAACUGGAAAAAUGGAUGAAACUCAAUGUAGAGUAAGUAUGUAACUGGCCUAGCUGUGAAAAACUGUUGUAUUUCAAUUCCUAGAGUCUUGACUAACAGGAGUUAGUACUUUUCACUAACAAACAUUUGUUUUCUGUCCCACCAAGAGAGGGACUGUAUAGCAGAACCCUGGCUGGUAGCAUCACAACACCUCCUCUGCUUAUCGUAUU